ACGCCGCCUCCGUGUAAGAUCAAUAAAGGGCAUCCAGUUUCACCCUAGGAAAAGCUUAUUAAAUUAUUGUCGCCAUAAGCUGAUACGGCACAAGAAAGACGUAUGAAACUUCAAAAGAAAGCUGGAUGGAUUGAAAUACACGGCUGCAUUCAGACUCAUCAUCACAUGAUCCAAUGAUCUCAGAAACCCAGAACAAGAUGAAAUGGGAUUCUUCCAGGGUGUCCCCUACCAUUAGUGAACAUUCACUGUCUGCCCACAGACAGACCUGGCCCUUCCAAGGUGUGGCAAGAGGCAAGGACUACACCUCCAGCACCAACCCCAGCAGCGGUGUGUGGAGAUAUGCCAGCCCUCCCAGAGAUGCGGUGGCACGUGAGGCGUGGACGACACAGGCCAGACUGCAAUGGAAGCCUCGGUGCAAAGUGCCAAACAGAAGUUACACCGAAGCCUCACUUCAUCCCCUCGUUUCCCAAAUUCUUUUAAUUAAUGACAUCUUCCCACUGGACAUUUACCGUGUUUCCCCGAAAAU